CAAAAAGCUGAGAUGGAGAGAGUACGUGCUGAAUUCGGUACAGAGAGUCGGCGGUUGGUGAGAGCCGAACUGAAUAGGCACGGAAGUACACUCCGGAGCUGUUCGGUGAACUCCGUUUGGAAAGUAGCCUCAACCGGGCAUACCAGUGCUCGUUAACGCAAUCAAGUGAAAGGUUUUUGUGCCUUUUAUUAGGGUGGUACCGCGAGCAGCCUCGUCCCUAGU
rnacentral:ncRNA from 1 species